rnacentral:lncRNA from 1 species
CUUGGGUCUAUCUUGUAUACUGGUUCGCAUUCACAAUUUCCUUCUUUCAUUGUUACUUCCUGCGCAAAUGUCCUGGCUUUCACCUCUACUCGCUCUUCUACCUUUUUCUCAACUUCUGGGUACGUCAGCAAGGCCAUCAAUCCCUCCUUGUCCUGCACAGGUUUAUCCACCAUAUCAAUACCACAUGAGGAUAUAUAUUUA